UCCGUAGGUGAACCUGCGGAAGGAUCAUUAUUGAAUUCAAAUCAUCUGUGGCUUCGGUCCGGAUGUGCCAACAGGUAACACUGUUGGUAAUUCUAUCCAUAACACCUGUGAACUGUUGGAUGCUUGCAUCCACUUUUAUACUAAACAUUAUUGUAACAAAUGUAGUCUUAUUAUAACAUAAUAAAACUUUUAACAACGGAUCUCUUGGUUCUGGCAUCGAUGAAGAACGCAGCGAAAUGCGAUAAGUAGUGUGAAUUGCAGAAUUCAGUGAAUCAUCGAAUCUUUGAACGCACAUUGCACCUCUCGGUAUUCCGAGAGGUAUGCCUAUUCGAGCGUCAUUUGUACCCUCAAGCUCUGCUUGGUGUUGGGUGUUUGUUCCGCCUUUGCGUGUGAACUCGCCUUAAAACAAUUGGCAGCCGGCGUACUUGUUUCGGAGCGCAGCACAUUUUGCGCCCCAGAUCAGCGUAUGUUGGCAUCCAAGAAGCCUUAUUUUAACGCUCUUGACCUCGGAUCAGGUAGGGAUACCCGCUGAACUUAAGCAUAUCAAUAAGCGGAGGAA
rnacentral:rRNA from 1 species